GACGAACGCUGGCGGCGUGCUUAACACAUGCAAGUCGAACGGUGAAAGCGGAGCUUGCUCCGCUGGAUCAGUGGCGAACGGGUGAGUAACACGUGGGCAACCUGCCCCUCACUUCGGGAUAACUCCGGGAAACCGGGGCUAAUACCGGAUAUGACCUCCUUGGGCAUCUUUGGGGGUGGAAAGCUUUUCGGUGAGGGAUGUGCCCGCGGCCUAUCAGCUUGUUGGUGAGGUAGUGGCUCACCAAGGCGACGACGGGUAGCCGGCCUGAGAGGGCGACCGGCCACACUGGGACUGAGACACGGCCCAGACUCCUACGGGAGGCAGCAGUGGGGAAUAUUGCGCAAUGGGCGAAAGCCUGACGCAGCAACGCCGCGUGCGGGAUGACGGCCUUCGGGUUGUAAACCGCUUUCAGCAGGGAAGAAGCCGCAAGGUGACGGUACCUGCAGAAGAAGCACCGGCUAACUACGUGCCAGCCGCCGCAGUAA
rnacentral:rRNA from 1 species